UGAGGUAUAUUUUUACAUAUUUUUUAUUAUUACUUCAAUUGUACUAGAAUAAUUUAUUAGAAAUUUUAUAUUUUGCGAGUCUAAAAAUCUGUUAAUAAAAUAUGUUUGCAAGACCUGGACCAGCAGUCAAACCAAAACCUCGAACUAAACUAGAAACUUUAAAACUAAUUUACCAAGAUCCAGAUAUAUGGAAUACUGUGAAAAGUGUUGCUUUUUUCAUAGUUGCUAUAAAAUUUACUAGGGAAUUCAAAAAUGUUGAACUUAUACAUUAACUUCAUAUAGUCGUACCAUCUGUUGCAAAGAAUGUACAAACUACAACCUUAAUAUAAUAUAUAUAUAUUUACUUAUGUAAUCUUAUAGAAUAAAAUUUAUUAAUAAAAUA